AUUCCAGCUCCAGUAGCGUAUGUUAAAGUUGUUGCAGUUAAAAAGCUCGUAGUUGGAUUUCUGGUACGCUGCGCCUGGCCCGCCCGCUUCGAGCGUGGUGUGUGCUGGAGCGCGGUUGCCAUCCUUCUAGAAAACGUUUCUACCCUUCGCUGGGCUGGAUUCGCAAUCUAGAUCUUUUACUUUGAAAAAAUUAGAGUGUUUAAAGCAGGCAUUUGCCAUGAAUACAUUAGCAUGGAAUAAUAAUAUAGGACUUUGGUUCUAUUUUGUUGGUUUCUAGGACUAAAGUAAUGAUUGAUAGGGAUAGUUGGGGGUGCUCGUAUUUAGCGGCCAGAGGUGAAAUUCUUGGAUUCGCUAAAGACGAACUUAUGCGAAAGCAUUCACCAAGGAUGUCUUCAUCG
rnacentral:rRNA from 1 species